rnacentral:rRNA from 1 species
UACGGAGGGUGCAAGCGUUAUCCGGAAUUACUGGGUUUAAAGGGUGCGUAGGCGGCUAAAUAAGUCAGAGGUGAAAGACUGGAGCUUAACUCCGGAACUGCCUUUGAAACUGUAUAGCUUGAAUUAGGUUGAGGUUAGCGGAAUGUGACAUGUAGCGGUGAAAUGCAUAGAUAUGUCAUAGAACACCAAUUGCGAAGGCAGCUGACUAGGCCUUAAUUGACGCUGAGGCACGAAAGCGUGGGGAGCGAACAGG